rnacentral:misc_RNA from 1 species
GAUGAAGAACGCAGCGAAAUGCGAUACGUAGUGUGAAUUGCAGAAUUCCGCGAAUCAUCGAGUCUUUGAACGCAAGUUGCGCCCGAAGCCAUUAGGCCGAGGGCACGCCUGCCUGGGUGUCACACACCGUUACCCUCGCGCCAACGUCCAUCGUUGGCCGCGGCGCGGGGCGUGCGCUGACCUCCCGCGAGCGGGGUCUCGUGGUUGGUUGAAAAUCGAGUUCGCGGUCGAGGGUGCCGUGAUGAAAUGGUGGAUGGGCGACGCCCGAGGCCAAUCACGCGCGACUCUGUCCGGCUCGGACUCCUGGACCCCUUCGGCGUCUCCGGACGCUCUUUGGCGAGACCUCAGGUCAGGCGGGGCUACCCGCUGAGUUUAAGCAUAUCAAUAAGCGGAGGA